CCUACGGGUGGCAGCAGUGGGGAAUAUUGCACAAUGGGCGCAAGCCUGAUGCAGCCAUGCCGCGUGUGUGAAGAAGGCCUUCGGGUUGUAAAGCACUUUCAGCGGGGAGGAAGGCGUUAAGGUUAAUAACCUUGUCGAUUGACGUUACCCGCCGAAGAAGCACCGGCUAACUCCGUGCCAGCAGCCGCGGUAAUACGGAGGGUGCAAGCGUUAAUCGGAAUUACUGGGCGUAAAGCGCACGCAGGCGGUCUGUCAAGUCGGAUGUGAAAUCCCCGGGCUCAACCGGGGAACGGCAUUCGAAACUGGCAGGCUAGAGUCUUGUAGAGGGGGGUAGAAUUCCAGGUGUAGCGGUGAAAUGCGUAGAGAUCUGGAGGAAUACCGGUGGCGAAGGCGGCCCCCUGGACAAAGACUGACGCUCAGGUGCGAAAGCGUGGGGAGCAAACAGGAUUAGAUACCCUAGUAGUC
rnacentral:rRNA from 1 species